rnacentral:rRNA from 1 species
GGAUGGGAUGGAGCAACGCCGCGUGCAGGAUGAAUGCCUUCGGGUUGUAAACUGCUUUUAUAUGUGACGAAUAUGACGGUAGCAUAUGAAUAAGGAUCGGCUAACUCCGUGCCAGCAGCCGCGGUAAUACGGAGGGUGCAAGCGUUAUCCGGAUUCACUGGGUUUAAAGGGUGCGUAGGCGGGUUGGUAAGUCCGUGGUGAAAUCUCCAAGCUUAACUUGGAAACUGCCGUGGAUACUAUCAAUCUUGAA